UACAUUUUGACCCUCUUCAUUGGGAGACUCCAGAAAAGUUCAAUCCCAAUCAUUUUUUGGAUGAAAACGGCCAGUUCAGGAAAAAGGAUGCUUUCAUGCCAUUCUCAGCAGGGAAGAGGGCCUGUCCAGGGGAGGCCCUGGCUAGGAUGGAGCUCUUCCUGUUCUUCAGUGCUCUGCUCCAGAAUUUCACUUUCUCUCUGGUUGGGGACACCAACGAUACGGAUGUAAUGUCUUUGUAUACGGACUUCAGAAAUAAUCAAUACCCCCUUAUACGAGCUGCUAAACGUUCAGUGGACACUUGAGGUCAAUAAUUAGGAGAAAGUGCUUACAUUAAUAGUUACUGAAAUAAA